CGCUAGAGUUUGAUCCUGGCUCAGGAUUAACGCUAGCGGCAUGCCUAAUACAUGCAAGUCGAACGAAAGUAGCAAUACUUUAGUGGCGAACGGGUGAGUAACACGUAUCUAACCUACCAUUUAGUGAGGAAUAACUGUUGGAAACAACAGCUAAUACCGCAUAUGUUAUUUAUUUGCAAUGAUAAAUAAUGAAAGGAGCAUUUGCUUCGCUAAUUGAUGGGGAUGCGGCGCAUUAACUAGUUGGUAAGGUAAUGGCUUACCAAGGUAACGAUGCGUAGCCGAUCUGAGAGGAUGAACGGCCACAUUGGGACUGAGACACGGCCCAAACUUCUACGGAAGGCAGCAGUAGGGAAUUUUUCACAAUGGGCGAAAGCCUGAUGGAGCAAUGCCGCGUGACUGAUGAAGGUCUUCGGAUUGUAAAGGUCUGUUGUAAGAGAAGAAGUGCUAGAAUAGGAAAUGAUUUUAGUAUCGACCAUACCUUACCAGAAAGCCACGGCUAA
rnacentral:rRNA from 1 species